UACAGAGGGGGCAAGCGUUGUUCGGAAUUACUGGGCGUAAAGGGCGCGUAGGCGGCCUUCUAAGUCGAACGUGAAAUCCCCGGGCUCAACCCGGGAACUGCGUCCGAUACUGGUGGGCUUGAAUCCGGGAGAGGGAUGUGGAAUUCCAGGUGUAGCGGUGAAAUGCGUAGAUAUCUGGAGGAACACCGGUGGCGAAGGCGGCAUCCUGGACCGGUAUUGACGCUGAGGCGCGAAAGCUAGGGGAGCAAACGGG
rnacentral:rRNA from 1 species